UAUCCAUUUCUCUACUCGCUUCCUCGUGCGCUCUCGGUGCUGCUGGAAAACACUGUGAGCAGGAGGGUCAACUCGGUGGUGAAGUCAAGAGGCACGUGUUUGUUUUUGAAGUGGUAAAAAAAAAGCAAGUUCAAAGCAGCACCACAGAGACUUUGUCUUUGCACAGGCGACUGUUUGCGUGGGCAAGUGUAUGCAUAUUUAAUCGACGAGUAGGCAGCAGUAAUUCAGCGUACUGGCUCACCAAGUGGGCAAGUGAAGCAGGGGGAUGAGAGAGGGGAAGAAGGGGGCUUUUGGUGACAAGCUUGCACUUGAUUAGAUGAUCUGUCCCUCGUUGUUGUGCUUCUGGGAGAAGUCCUGGAUGAUCUCAGCUGGUAUUGUUGAUGGCUGUUUUGUGUGUUUGCAGUGUGUUUCCUAAUGUGUGGGAUGGCAAGGGAGUAGGAUCGAAAAAUUGGCCAAAGGCUGCUACUUAUCUAAAAGUAGGCCAUAACUGUUGAAGUAUAGAAAACAGUGGCAUACAGAAAGUUUCAUUUUACAUCUAAUUUUAUAGAUUUUUAUAUUUUACCAAUUAUUCGGCCGGGUCUUGUUGACUCCCUCUCUCAGUGUCACGCCUUCAGGAGUCAGUGUGGCAGGCAGCGACAGACCAGGCGCUCAUAUACAAAGCCAGCACGUUCACCCUGUCUGCAGCAGCCGAGCGGUGCUGAGCACCACCUCCGGCAUCAGGAGCAGCAGCAGCAACAGCAGUAGCAGUAGCGGCGGCGGCAGCAGCAGAAGCAGGGUUUUGGAGCACAGUUGGAGGACCGACGACGCAUAUCAACAGCGCCAGGCUCGACACCAGUCAAUACUGAUGCUCAGUGGCCGGUCGCUGGUCGCUGGCUGCCGGUUGCUCGGGGACAGUGGAGGCUGUUGAAUGAGCGGAGGUGUCGCUGAAGCGCUGUCCGAGGUGCUGAAAAGCCCCUGACAGACUGUCGCUGUCCCUUUUCCCAGUCGAGACUAUACGCAUGAACUGACGUGAAUGCUGAGCAGCACAACACAGCACCCCCGGGCAGAGUAAAUGGGACCGCACGUCGUCCGAGCGUUUGAAAGAUGGAGAGAUUUUUCCUACUCGUCCUCAGCUGUCUCGGCGUCUCUCGAGUCACAGCCGAUAGCUUGUCGCCUCCCGUCAAUGUGACCAUCAAAGCGCUGAAAGCAAACUCUGCUGUGGUGACAUGGGACAUCCCAGAGGGAGACUCCGUCAUUGGCUUUGCCAUCACACAGCAGAAGAAAGAUGUGCGCAUGCUGCGAUUCAUCCAGGAAGUCAACACCACCACACGCUCCUGUGCAUUAUGGGACUUGGAGGAAGAGACCGACUACAUUGUGCAUGUCCAGUCCAUCAGCAUGUCUGGGACGAGCCCACUGAGCGAACCGCUGCGCUUCCGAACACCGAAGGAGGCCGAGACUCAGGCCUCUAAGAGUAAAGACGAAGUGACGAUGGAGGAAGUGGGCCAGACCACCCAGCUGAGGGCAGGGGAGCUCAUCAUCAUCGUGGUGGUGCUUAUCAUGUGGGCAGGUGUAAUCGCUCUCUUCUGUCGCCAGUAUGAUAUAAUCAAAGACAACGAGCCCAACAACAACAAGGACAAAGCCAAAAACUCCUCAGAGUGCAGCACUCCUGAACACCCGACGGGGGGGCUGUUGCGCAGUAAGGUAUAACCCACCCCCCUCCUCCUCCUCUCUCCCGGGUGCCUCCCCCUCAGCGGCGCCGGGCAGUUCCCCAAGAACAACAACAACAAUAGGAUGCCAUCUGUCAACAUCAUUGAGGUGUGACUGCCAGGACGUCUUCUCUUUAUCUAAAAGACUUUGUGUUCUCACAAACAAGCGGGCCCCCUUUUAAGCCCAUCUGCUUGUCAGGAUGAGGCUGGGACUCUGGGCCCCUCGGCAGCACCUACUCUCCUUUGGCACGGAGCCUGGUGCUGAAGCGCAGCCGCGGGACUCCGGGGGUCAGGCGCGACCUGGCCUGUGCUGGUCUGAGAGCAGAGUCAGCAGCGGAGAGACUGUAGCGGGAGUUGAGUGGCUGCACUGUGCUCAAUGAACACCGUACCACAGGGCAGCAGAGAUUAGGGCCAAAUGGCUCCGGCGGUGGAGGGACUGCAGAUAAACCAACCCCAGGGACCAAAGCCGAUAAACAGAGCCAGAGACCUUUUCACUCUCUCUCCCUCUGUCACCUCUUUUUUCUCGCCGUCUUCAAGUGCGUUAUCAACAACCACAAACCUGGACAUUUCCCAUUACUGGGUGGCACUGAGAUACAUCCACUUUCUGUACCUUAAUCUCAUCUUCAACAUGUUAUUUUCUUCAUAACAUCCUGUUUUAUACUUUAAGAAAUACUGUAGAUGAUUCAACUGUAUCACUGUAGUUUUACUUGUUUGAUUUUUUUAACAAGGUGCCACCAGAACAGUCCUGUUGUUCUGGUAUCGCUUUUUCUUUUUUUUUUUUUGUUUCUUAAUUCAGAUCCACCCUUCGGGCAGAAACUCUUUGCCGCCCUGUGGGAAAUGUUUUCAUUCUGUCGAGCUCGUUUUCCCCCCUCAGGGAAUCCAGACUCCACCUGGCCAAUUUAGGAGCCAUUUCUCAGAUGUGCUUCGAUGACGCCAGAGCAGCUUUAGAUGGAUCACUCGGCUCAACACCACAGCUCAAUCACCCAAUAUUGUCAGAAAAGGCGAAAAUCAUUAAGUCAUAUUGAAAGGCAUCUCUCAUCUGAAGGCACAUACACAGUCAAGUCCAAAACAUUUUGGUCACACUUGCUUUUUGAUGAUCUCUUACUUAUUUCAUGCUUUUAUUAUAGAUUUCUGAAAUGUUACAUUCCACGUCCAGGAUAAGCCCUUUAGUAUUUCCUUGUGUCUUUCUCUUUGAGGGUGAUGAAUUUCAAAGCAUUUCUGAAAAGGAAAAGGAACUGCCAUAAUGUAGUGCAUUCAUCUAAUUAAUGAACUUUUAAAGGGGCUGGACUCUAUGGAUGUCUACAGAGAAGUGGACUAAAGAGAUCCCUUAUAUCAGCAAUAACAGCUCUCAAUGGAGUACGGAAGCAAGGACUCAAACUCUGUAGCCUCUUCGUCCAGAACUCGACCUCCCAGCAUGCAACGUUCCGACAGAUGAACAAACUGAACAACAAAUAUGAGGGAAUUAACCCUGAGCCUUUGAGUUUGCAAGUGAUCCCUCUCCUGAACUUUCAGAGCAAAGUAUUUCAGCGCUGUUGUAAAAACUUUGGUUUGUGAUGGCGAGCAUGGAAAAAAAAAAAAAAAAACUUUUUAUGGGCCCAAUCUUCAACCCUAAGACUUCUUUAUGACAUCCUGAACAGAUGUCACCAAGACCGAAGGGCUUCUCUCAAGACUUUUUUUUCUCAAUUCAAAGUCAAUAUUUGUGUCAAACUCCAUGAUGAAGAAGCUGAACAUAAUGAUAAGGGAUCAACUGUGGCCAUACGGUACUGUGCUCUGUAUACUGUAGGGGAACUUAGCAAAUGGUGUAUUUGAGGGCUGAUUCAAACUCAGUAGUACUGCCUUAAAAAUAAUUAUAUGUUAUGAUUUAGCUAAUAAGAUGGAAGGCCUCAUAUCUCACAUUUGUAUCAUAUGCUUUACCUUUCACAUAAUAUUUAAACGUGUGUGCAAAGUAAAAGGAAACAUUACAGAUUGUUGACGUUUAGACCGAGCUGAGAUGGUUGGCUUUUAAUGUGUACAUACAUUUUAUAUUUCAUUCUUGUUUGCUGGUGUCACUUUAGAGAGCCUUUUAUUAAAACAUGACUAAUAUGGAAAAUGUAUAGACUCAUACUUUAAGAAAGCACUGCUGCUUGUUAGAUAUAAGUGAUUUUUAUGUUAAUACACAGCUGUAAAAGUCCUGUUAUUAUGAGCUUUUUCGUAGCACUCCUCUACUGUUAAUGUAUUUCUAUUACAUCAUGUCAUUGUGCUGUUUAUGUGCAAUAAGAAAAGACUCUUUGAUGAGGGAAAUGAUUUUUAAAAAAGUGCUGGAUCUUAAUCAUCCAAACGUAAUGUUUAACAGCCAUUCAGCUGGAAAUCUCUAUUGACAGGCAGAGUGAUAAACACUAUUGUUCCAUCUCAUUUUGCGGUGCACUGGCAAUUCACUUAUUGUAAACAGACAAAUACAUGUGUGCACACAAACGUAACAGGUCACAACUCCCAUAGUGUGUAGUGGAGAGAGCCAGUAAAGGUGGUUAAGAGUGAGCAGAGAAGGGUACAGUUGAGUGGAGUGGGUAGAAUGAUGACUAAUGCAACGGCAGGCUUUUAUCACUCCCUACCUCCCUCUCUCCCUCGUCUUCCACUCUUAAUAAGACAGGAAAAGCUCAAGAUUGCGCUCCUCCAAUAAGCACAGACUCAUGUCAGAGCCAAGAGUGGGUUUAAAAUGUUUCUGAAAGUCACAGAGUGGUAAAAAGGGAGAAGGAGAGGGGCCUUUCUGACUGAUUAACCCAGACGUUUAAGCUGUUGCCAGGACAAACUUGGUGAAGCCUCCAAACAGUGUUCUGCUGCAUUACCCAGAGUGAUCAGCACUUCACCCACAACUUCUGCGGCUGAAGGCUGAAUCCAUUUUUUCCCCAGGAGCACUGCACCGGUAGCAGGCUCUCCAAUCGAUACGCAUCCAUCCACACAGCAACGGAUAAUGAUGAUUGUCUCCCCGGAUGAUUUCUUUGAACUAGGGCCAUGCCUUAAGUUUGCCAGCAAUAUAUUUCUCAACAGCAUUCCCUGUAGGCAGUCUUUAUUUACUUUCCUCCACCCCAGUCACUUAAAUGAGUAAAACCUCAGCUAGAAACAUAAGGUUUACUUUCAAAGCUGUCACAGAUUUGACUGAAUAGUUUAGUGUAUCAUCAUCUUCAGAUUAUAGUACACUCCCAUGUUUACACUGUAAAUAAUUUAUUUCUUAUUAUUAAUUUAAAUGUAGGGCUAUUGUGAACUUUCACUCGUGUGGCAGGUUGUUGUUCAACUUCACUGUUGAAAGAAUACUGUGACAUUUUGGGAAUUACACUUUUUUUUUUUUUGCAGUUAGAUGAGACGAUCAAUACCACUUUCAUAUCCAUACCAUAAAUAUGAAGCUACAACCAGCAGCUGGCUGGAGCAACACAGCUCAUAUGAGAGACAUAUUGAUCCUCUCAUCAAAUUCUUAACAAAAGAAAUAAAUAAGCACGUUUCCCAAAAUGCUGAACUACUCAUUUAGGGUUGCAGCUUCUCCAUACAAUCAAUGCGUUUGAGUGAGCUCUCCUGUAGAGAAUCCAGCAGCCUCAGUAUGAUGGUAAACAGCUGUGGAGCAUCAUUUGUUUUAACACAGAAGUGAGUUUGCCAAGGAUAAACAGAAAUGGGUCUCACAUGUUGUGUGGAUCAAUGGAAGAUAUCUGGGUAUCUAAUUAGAGUGCAUAUUCCAUUACUGCUGGCAUUUGCUCAGUCAGCCAUACAUGGCCUGCUCCUACUGCUAAAGAAACAAAUUGAUCGUUUGGAUUCAAGUUGUUUAUUGGUGUGAGGACAUCCAGCCACAAUGGAUGCUUCUGUUCAGAACAGGUUACGUGUACACCUGCAAUCCGCAGAUGAAAACUCUUUCCUUUAAUCACACUCGACUAAUGGUGACGACUGUAAGAACUCAACAUUCCACUUGAGCCCUGUGGUGACAACCCACUCUAACACACAGAGGACUUACUUUCAGUGUCAGACGCCCAAGGUGUUUUCUCAAGCUACUGUGUGUACCAUACAAUGCCUGAAAAAUACGCUUGGUAGCUGUAAUGGACUAUUUUGUGAUGAGACACCCAGGCAGUAAAGAGACAAUUUUUCAAAACAACUUACACAAUGUGUAUUUUGUAUUAGACUAGCAACAUGCCCAGAAACUGAAACUCAGUGUUGUAAUGGUAGAGAGACGUUGGACUAUUUCGUUAUGGACAUAUUGAAAUAUAGGAAUGAGAUUGACAAAGAAGCAUGGUUUAGAAAAAUGAACUGCUUUAUUAGUGCUAUCAUGUUUAUAUUCAUUGUAUGAAGUGUACAGCAGUGAUUGCUUAAUGAGGGCUAGCAUGGUUUAACUAUUAUGCACAAGGUUACACAACUUCUAUUAUGAAGAAUAUGGUGUAUGCUUACUUGUGUAUGCUUAAAUAAAAUAUUACAUAUUUUCCACAAAAGCGUUUGAUCUUAAUUUGGAACAACAGUACUAAGUGGUGACAUUCAAAACAGAAUAUGAGAUAUUUUAAACCAAAAAGUCAAAGUAAUUCUUUUUUUUUUUUUCUUAAAAGAAACAGGUUUACAAAAUCCAGGCAGACAGGAUUUUUCCUUGGUGAAUAAUACAUAUGAACCACAGACUUCACCAGGCUUUACCUGUCAGACUUUUCUCCAUAAAAAAAAAAGCAAUAUUUUUGCAGUUUUACUGUGGAGACAUUGACAUUUGCCCAAGAAAGACAAUCAUCCUGCAAAAUUCACCCAACAUGGUUUCAGGAAAAUGCAUUUACUGUUGUGUCAGCAACUUGUGUAAGAAAACAACUGAACUGGUAACGGCUUAGAUAUUAGAUUAUGUUUAUAUUUGUCUAUGCAUCAAUGUAGGAGCAGUCUGUUAGACUGUUUAGCUGAGCAGGUGAAAUGAGGCUCGGGGAUUUUGUAAAUGACACGCAUGACUUCCAUCUCUAGGAGUCUUUUGUUUGCAGUCUGUUUAGACAAUACCCUACACAGCUGCAGAGGAACUGUGAGGCAUGUCAGAUAAACACUCAAUUCUCCCUACUACUGAAAUGGAUCAUGACUCUGCUGGGGAAAAGCAUAGUUGGAAGGUGUAGAGAGUUGCUGUGGCUGCUCGGCUGCACACGUGCCUUGCAAUCUGCACAGCGUGUGUCACAAGGCCUUCACUGACACCUACACACCGCUGCCAUCUGGAUGGCUGACCAGGGACAGGAUGCCCCACUAGCUGUACAGACAGGAUUACUUUAACAACCUGAAUAAUUCAAUGGAUGGGACCGAUGCUGAUAAAUUCCAUGUUCCAUUUUUUUGCUCCCUGGGGUCCCCUCUGUCAGCCUGUACCUGUGUGCAACACUCAGAUGCUGUGUAGUAGAAUAAAGCUGACAAAGAUGCAGCAUUAUUCUCCAACACAACUGUAGUGUACCCUGAACAAGUUGGUCUUUAUUACGAGUACUUCAUCAGCAGCACUGUCUCGCCCCCACACAAAUACAGCCCUGCUCUGACUCUGGGGACCGAGUUCUCAACUCAGCGCCUACAACACUUAGACUUUCCUUACAAGGUUACAGGUUUAAUGAGACCACAGUGCAGAGAACCCUCCAAUCAGCUAAGGGCACAAUGGUCACUGCUGCUCCACAAUUCAAGGGUUAACACAAAUCAUUAAGAGCAUUUUUGAAUUUAACCUCUAGCGGUAGUGUUAGAGUUAUUGGCAAUGUUUUGAAAUAUCCAAUGAGAUUUCUGCUGACACCUCAAAAAACAAGGUACAGAGGAAUUCUGUUUGUGGUGCUUAUUUUUGUACUUAAAUACACUUUUAAAACAGGCAUAGUUUCAAACCUAGUAAAAUGGCUAGUAAUGUAAUAUGCUUCAAACACUUAAGUGCUUGUUCAGUAGAAAAAUUUUCAGAAAGUCAAAACACUUAAAAACAUGCAUAGAUUUUCACACAAAAGGACAUGCAUAAUUGAGAGAAAAAAAACAAACAGACAACACUCAAAAUGACAACCCAAAAAUACACACCACAUAUUAAAUUAACAAAGAAAAGCAGUGCCAUUUUUUGUACCUAUUAUAACAUUAUAACUCUUAUUUAUAUUUAUAUAUAUAUAUAUAUAUAUAUAUAUAUAUAUA